rnacentral:rRNA from 1 species
AAACAUAGCCUUUAGCCCCCCUAGUAUUAAAGGUCCUGCCUGCCCAGUGAAACUUUUAAACGGCCGCGGUAUUCUAACCGUGCAAAGGUAGCGUAAUCAUUUGUCUUCUAAAUAAAGACCAGUAUGAACGGCUAAAUGAGGACAAACCUGUCUCCUGCAACCUAUCAGUGAAACUGAUCUCCCAGUCCAAAAGCUGGGAUACAAACAUAAGACGAGAAGACCCUGUGGAGCUUAAAAUUUACCACUACAAACAAACUAGUACAAGAUUUUAAGUUGGGGCGACUUCGGAACAAAACAAAACUUCCGAGCACAGAACAACCAAUUCUAACCAAGGCCAACGGGCCAAAAAAUUGACCCAGUCAUACUGACCAACGAACCAAGUUACCCCAGGGAUAACAGCGCUAUCUUCUUCAAGAGUCCAUAUCGACAAGAAGGUUUACGACCUCGAUGUUGGAUCAGGGCACCCCAAUGGUGCAGCCGCUAUUAAAGGUUCGUUUGUUCAACGAUUAACAGCCCUAC